UGGGGAAUUUUCCGCAAUGGGCGCAAGCCUGACGGAGCAAGACCGCGUGAGGGAAGAAGGUCUGUGGAUUGUAAACCUCUUUUGACAGGGAAGAAUUUGUGACGGUACCUGUCGAAUCAGCCUCGGCUAACUCCGUGCCAGCAGCCGCGGUAAUACGGAGGAGGCAAGCGUUAUCCGGAAUUAUUGGGCGUAAAGCGUCCGUAGGUGGGUGCAUGUGUCAGUUGUUAAAGAGUGGAGCUUAACUCCAUAGGAGCGAUUGAAACUGUGCAUCUAGAGUGCGAUAGGGGCAAGGGGAAUUCCCAGUGUAGCGGUGAAAUGCGUAGAUAUUGGGAAGAACACCGGUGGCGAAAGCGCCUUGCUGGGUCUGCACUGACACUGAGGGACGAAAGCUAGGGGAGCGAAAG
rnacentral:rRNA from 1 species